GUCCAUCAUUAUUAAAUCACUAAUAAAAAUUAUAUAAAAAAGAAAAGGCCCAGUGUGCAGUGGCUCCAAACAAACUCUUGGGUAGUGUAUGCAGCCUGUUGCUUGUACAGGCUGUCCUAAGGGGUCCUGGAGUCAAAU
ensembl:snoRNA SNORA70 Small nucleolar RNA SNORA70